rnacentral:pre_miRNA from 1 species
CUUGUACUCCCUCCGUCCGAAAAUACUUGUCAUUGAAAUGGAUGUAUCUAGAUGUAUUUUAGUUCUAGACACAUCCAUUUUGAUGACAUGUAAUUCCGGACGGAGGGAGUACUUG